rnacentral:tRNA from 1 species
CAUUAGAUGACUGAAAGCAAGUGUAAGUCUUUUAAACUUACAAUAGUAGUCACGCCUACUUCUAAUGA